GAUGAAGAACGCAGCGAAAUGCGAUAAGUAAUGUGAAUUGCAGAAUUCAGUGAAUCAUCGAAUCUUUGAACGCACAUUGGGCCCGCCAGUAUUCUGGCGGGCAUGCCUGUUCGAGCGUCAUUACAACCCUCAGGCCCCCGGGCCUGGCGUUGGGGAUCGGCGGAAGCCCCCUGUGGGCACACGCCGUCCCUCAAAUACAGUGGCGGUCCCGCCGCAGCUUCCAUUGCGUAGUAGCUAACACCUCGCAACUGGAGAGCGGCGCGGCCAUGCCGUAAAACACCCAACUUCUGAAUGUUGACCUCGAAUCAGGUAGGAAUACCCGCUGAACUUAAGCAUAUCAAUAAGCGGAGGA
rnacentral:misc_RNA from 1 species